rnacentral:lncRNA from 1 species
AUAGUGUUUGUUGCCCUCUUCCCUCAUAUGGUGAAACUAUGAUCUUAUCUGGAGUUGAGGCCUGAAUGAAGGGAUUAGGUGGCGCCCAUAGGAAUGGGAUGUGUGCCCUUAUAGGAAGAGGGCAGACAGCUGUACUCUGCAACCUAGAAGAGGGGCUUGCAGAACUCAUGUAAGAUUCCGGGGAGCCUAAGCUUACCAGGGUCUCCCUGAGUGAACCACAUGGAGCCAGGAUCGAUGCAAAAAGCAAGAGGAAUUUAUUGUUCCAGUGCACUGGGGUCAUCUCAGACCUGAAGGAGAGGCAGUGACCCCCAGCACCCAUUCGGAGGGAGCUUUCCAUCAGAGAAUGAAACCAAUACAAAGGAAGACAGAGAUGAACUUUGAGAACAAGAAUGCAUGAAUGGCACAAUUUUAGGUCUAGAAAGAGUGAUUAGUGACAACAUCAGAGGCCUGGAUUUCCCAUUCUCCCAUUCAGACAAACUGGUACAUUCCCUUCCCUCUUCAGCUACUUGAAAGUAGAUAUAUUUCAUUUGCAAUUGAGUCCUAAAUAAUGAUAACUUUAUCUUAUAGGAGUA